ACGCAAUAAUAUUUGGACAUUUCCAAAAGUGCCCACCCGUUAUUUGAUUGUUGCCUCUAGAAGGUAGCCCUUUUUUCAAUUUUAUUGUGCCAUGACGCGUGAGGUUUGUUUGAACUAACACUGUUAAUGUUUGCCUAACUUUUUAGUUCUUCAAUUAAGCCAAAGGAACUGGCAAAGGCAGCGCGCAUUGGCUUUGAAAGUGAGCAUAGGCCUACGUUUGUACAGCCUGGCGUGAAAGGGCCAAAAUCAUGGGAAGUGGUAGUAGUCGAGGAAAGAAGGUUGUACCUGCGAGUUUCAACGAGACAAAUGCAUUCAAAACAGAAGACAUCGUCGAUGUUUUGAAAGAAGAAAAUCACUUAUACAAACCAUUGAAGAUACAAACAUUUACAAAAGUCCGUCUGUCUGGAAACAGAACUCAACCCAGGACAGACUGCCACAUUGAAGGACACGAUUCUGAAUUUGAGGAUGACAUUGGUCUGGAACUGGAUCGAGGUCUAGAGGAAUAUGAGAAUCGGGAAUUGCGCUCCAAGAAGAAACAUUUUCCAAAGAUGCCUUUCAUCAGGUCAACCACUUACGGGUUAUGUAUUUCUAGACGGGUACACAAUGAAAUGGAUUUCAAUUCAACCCCUCACUUGCAGAGUUCUGGAAUGUCGGACAGGAUCGCAACACGUUCAGAAAACGCAUCUGUCCGAGUCAACGACACGAAAUGCAUCCGAGUUUUCAACCGCUUUUGCAAAGAUAAACAAAUGCAUAUUCUAAGUGAUACUCGGGAAAAUGACUUGACAACCGGGACUGUUGGGGAGUAUAUGCAUCGUGCAGAAGCACAGUCAGUCCCCAACAAUAGCCAAGGACCCUCUCACUCCCUGCCGGCCAUCCUGUAUAAUGACUCAGAAGUGGACCUAAUGGAGACCAUAGAGAGAGAGUUUGGAUGACUCCACCGGAGAGUCAGCUGGCAGGCACCCUUCCCACAUUUCACGCACUCCCUUUCUAAAAAUGGCGGGAUGACAUUUGAC
ensembl:lncRNA